AGGAAAUCAACACACAGAAGCAAGGAAGAGACCUUUGGACAUGCAAAGGUCUCAGCUUCCUGGAGAAAUUGGACUUCAAAAGUUCUUCCCCUUAUAAAUCUUGCAAUCCCACCUAAGGAUAGGAACACAACAGAACAACUCAUGUUGACAUUGCUUCCAUUUCUCUACCAAAAGAAACAAUCUGUUAACUCUGAAGAGUAAAACAAAACAAAACAAAAAAAGGAUAAUAAGCAAGCUGAUGCCUGAGGAGCAAGAUAUAAUAAAAGAAAAUGAGGUGAUAAAAAUAAUAGACAACAGUGAACAGCUUCAACUCUUAUUCAAGCCUUCAACUAUAAUUUUGCUUCUGCUUUUUCUUCCAAAGAGAAUGAUGUUUACAAUGGACAUAAUAUAGUGGAAAAUCAUAGAAGGAAGUUUAUUGAAGUCCAAGAUAUGUGAGGAGAUGGUAAAAUAGCACCUAGUUGUCUUUGAUGAGGUCAAGUCACCAAGACUCUCAUACAGAUCACAUGUUAGUAUUUAUCCUGAAUAAAUCAUAAGAUGUGAUUGCUGAAUUAUCACUAAUGAUAUUUGAAGGAUUGUGGCACAUAGAAUAAAUGGCAUGGAACUGAAGGACAAAAUCUUCCUACUGCUGAAAGAAGAAAACAUGGUGACAUCUACAAACUGUAGACCAGUGAGCUUGACUCUGAUGCCUGGCAAAUUCUAGGACAUGUUAUUAAAAGUAUGGUUUGAGAGCAUUUAGAAUGAGAAGUAGUUUGCUAAAUGCCAUUAUGUCUUUAUCAAGAACAGAGAAUGUCAGACUAGCUUUAUUUCUCUUUUUGAUAGGGUAAGUAUACUAGUAAAUGAAAGGAAUAUUUUAGAGAUGAUAUACUUAAUUUUUUUUGUUAUUAUUAUAGCAUAGUUCAUUUUAUUCUUCUUUCUAUUUUAAAUUGUUUUAUUCGUAUAUUUUAUUUUCCUGAUUGUGCUUUACUUCACUCUGCAUCAAUUUAUGUAUAUUACUUGGUUUUACAGUUUCUUUGUAUUUAUCAUUUAUAUAUUUUAUACAAUGUUUUUAGCUAUUUCUUGUUUUGAAAACACCUGUUUUUUUCCAAUUAUUUGCUACUAUGAAAAAAUGUUGUUAUGACUAUUUUGUUACAUAAGUAAUUUCUUUCCAUUUUUGACCAAAGCCUUAGGUUGUUUUCAUCUCCAUAUUCCUAGAUACUAUGAUUCUUUUAAUGGAAUUUAAGUUAAAAUUAGCUUUCCUUGAAGUCAUAUCACAUAGAUAAUUCACAUUUUCUUGAAAUGUACAAAAAUGGACAUUCUAUCCUUGAGAAGUCAGUUCAUGGAAUCUAAGUGAAAUAAUUUUAUAUUUGUUUGUAUUAAAUUAUUUCUUGUAAGCUAAGGUCCAUUGUUUUAGCCUUUCAGAAUCUUUUUGAAAACUCAUUUUCAUCCAGUGUGUGUCAAUUAUCUAUCCCAUCUUUACUUCAUCUAUAAAUUUGAGAAGCAAACCAUUGUGUAUGCCUUUGAGCAAGUCAUUGGUUUUAAUAGGGACAGGGAUAAAUGCAGUUCCCUGGGGGCACCCAAUCAGACUCAUUCUCAUCCACCACAAGUUACUGUGGAAGCUUAAAUUUCUACUUGUAAUCUAGUCCAUAUCUACAAUUUCCCCAUAGGAAUAUUAUGAGAGACUUUACCAAAUGUUUUAGUCAAAUUUAAACAUUCACAUGAUGGGUUCUGUUUUUUUUUUCUUUCUUCGGUCUGGUCUGAAACACCCUUUUCUUAAUGAAGCCAGGAUUACUCUUUGUGAUUGUGGCAUCUAUUUUUAGAUUUUUACUAGUUUUUUUUAUAAUACUUUCUAGAAUUUUUCCAGGAAUGAAAUUCAAGCAUUCUGGCCCAUAAUGUUCAGACUUUGUUCUCUUCCCAGUUUUUCAAAAUUGAGACAUUUGCCUCCUUCUAAUUUGGGAAUGCUCCUAUUGUCAAUGAUCUUUUUUCUUCCAGGUCUUUCAGAAUCAAAGAUGUAGUUCACCUAGGCUCAAUGACUUUGCAUUGUGUUCAGUCCAUGAUUCAAGACAAUCCCAGAAACUCAUGAUGAAAAAUGUUGCCUUCAGAGAAAGAACUGAUGUAGUUUUAAUAGAUCAAAAAUACUAUAUUUCAUUUUCUUUCUUCUUUUCUUUCUUUGAGAUCUCUUCCACAAAAUGACAAGUGUGGACAAAUGUUUUACAUGUUUGCAUAUGUGAAAUCUACAUUAGAUUGUUUAAUACCUCAGGGAGGGAAGAAGGGCGGGAUGGAGUGGAGGGAGGGAGGAUGGGAAGGACAGAAAGAGUUUUAACUUGGAAAAAAAUUUACCAUAAAUGUUAAAAAUUGUUUUUACAUGUAAUUAAAGGGAAAUAAGAUAUUAUAAUUAAAAUAGAGAAAAAUAAAAAAUAAAAUUGAGGUUUGGACAAAUGACCUCUAAUAUUUCUGAGACCUAUUGAUCUUUCAUUUAUUUUGCUUUCUAGCCAUAUAAAUGAAUUUUGUAUGUAGAUCU